rnacentral:rRNA from 1 species
CAGCGCCGCGGUAAUACGAAGGGUGCAAGCGUUAAUCGGAAUUACUGGGCGUAAAGCGUGCGUAGGCGGUUUGUUAAGUCUGCUGUGAAAUCCCCGGGCUCAACCUGGGAAUGGCAGUGGAUACUGGCAAGCUAGAGUGUGUCAGAGGAUGGUGGAAUUCCCGGUGUAGCGGUGAAAUGCGUAGAGAUCGGGAGGAACAUCAGUGGCGAAGGCGGCCAUCUGGGACAACACUGACGCUGAGGCACGAAAGCGUGGGGAGCGAACAGGAUUAGAUACCCCUGUAGUCCCUGUCUCUUAUACA